rnacentral:tRNA from 1 species
ACGAAAGAUUGACGAUUGGUAAGAAUCCACAACAAGUUGUUCUUCAUACGAUGUAUCUGAGGGUCUGUAGCUCAGUUGGUUAGAGCACACGCUUGAUAAGCGUGGGGUCACAAGUUCAAGUCUUGUCAGACCCACCAAAUCUGACUAACGCAGCAUGCAAGUGCUGAAGCAAACAGAACAGAACGAUACAUUGACUUAUUGAUAAGCUGGGGACUUAGCUUAGUUGGUAGAGCGCCUGCUUUGCACGCAGGAGGUCAGGAGUUCGACUCUCCUAGUCUCCACCAUCAUUUAAGAUAAGUUGUUAGAUUAUAGAAUUUAGUAAGUUUAAGCUUAUUAAGUUCUGUGAUUUAUCACAGCGUCUAGACCUGACGAAGGCUAGACCGAUCAUUAACAGAAUAUAUUUGAGUUGAAAUAAAUUGUUUAAGGCUCAGAACUAAAUUGACAUUAAAAUGUGACACGCAAGUGACAUGUUUGAAUGAAGAUGCAGAACUGAGAAACUAGCGAUUAACUGAAUCAAGCGUUUUGGUAUAUGAAUCUAAUUGAAGCUGUACAGUGAUUAAGUUCACGAGACACUAAACUGAAUGUUGGUUGAUCUACUUGUAGGAUCAAGCGACUGUUUGGGGUUGUAU